CGCGUUGUCCGGAAUUAUUGGGCGUAAAGGGCUCGCAGGCGGUUUCUUAAGUCUGAUGUGAAAGCCCCCGGCUCAACCGGGGAGGGUCAUUGGAAACUGGGGAACUUGAGUGCAGAAGAGGAGAGUGGAAUUCCACGUGUAGCGGUGAAAUGCGUAGAGAUGUGGAGGAACACCAGUGGCGAAGGCGACUCUCUGGUCUGUAACU
rnacentral:rRNA from 1 species